AGCUCCAAUAGCGUAUAUUAAAGUUGUUGCAGUUAAAAGCUCGUAGUUGGAUUUCGGGAUUCGGGAGGCAUGCGGCCGACGGUCGCAGGCCCACCGGGUCCUUCUCUGCUGUGGACGCGUCGCCCUUAACUGGGAGGCGUUGGGCGCAGCUCGUUUACUUUGAAAAAUUAGAGUGUUCAAAGCAGGCUUUCGCUUGAAUACAUUAGCAUGGAAUAAUGGAAUAGGACCUGGUUCUAUUUUGUUGGUUAUGGGACCAAGUAAUGAUUAAUAGGGACAGUUGGGGGCGUUCAUAUUCCGUAGUCAGAGGUGAAAUUCUUAGAUUUACGGAAGAUGAACUUCUGCGAAAGCAUUCGCCAAGGAUGUUUUCA
rnacentral:rRNA from 1 species